CGUCUGACGUCAUGACGCAGUGGGCGGGACCGAGUACCAGCCCGGAAGUCGUCCUCGCCGCCACACUUUCCUUUAAAAAGAGUAAAAACAUUAAUUUUGUGAUUUAAUCUCUUUUUAAUUAACUCACCAGGUUUGUUUGCAGCCCGGACACUUUAACGGCGACACCGCGGACACUACAAUGCUCUCUCAGAGGUUCCUGCUGCUGCGGUCGGCCGCGUCCUUGACCACCAGGUCUUUCCGCACAGGGGGCGUGUUGAUGCACGGCAAGGCGCCGGACAUGGUGGAAGGAAAUCCACUUUUACACGUGUCAAAUGUUCGAAACAGGCUGAGGAGAAAUCGUGGGAGCUUCCACUAAUCUGGAGUGAUCACCAGCAGGCCAUGGCGGAGACGAGUUGUCGCUGUCGUCCAUGUUGGCGAA